rnacentral:rRNA from 1 species
UACAUGGGGUGCAAACGUUGCUCGGAAUUAUUGGGCGUAAAGCGCACGUAGGCGGUUCGUUAAGUCAGAUGUGAAAUCCCCCGGCUCAACUGGGGAACUGCACAGGAAACUAGCGGGCUUGAGUUCGGGAGAGGGAAGCGGAAUUCCGGGUGUAGCGGUGAAAUGCGUAGAGAUCGGGAGGAACACCGAUGGCGAAGGCAGUCCCCUGGGCCUGUACUGACGCUCAUGCACGAAAGCGUGGGGAGCAAACAGG